UGAUUAAAUGUUAAACCUAUGCUUAAGCAAACUCCCUGGUAAAGUCAGAAGCAUAAUCCCAUCAUCAAAUUUGACCCAUAUGAAUAUUUUGGUUAAAGAGGCCCAAAUUAUUGGAAGGAAAUAUUUUCCAUUUAUUUCCUUCUGUUUCCUUCGUUGAAAAUUAAGGUUAGAUUUAUGACUCGCUUUAUUCAAAACCCCUUUACUAGUUCUACAUCGAAGAUCUUUUUGUUUGAUGAAUUGACCCCUCUGGGUCUUCUCUAAAUCACUAUUUCCAGUACCCAGAACUCCAAUUUUAACUCUCUUCGCAACUUCGGCUUCAAAAUAAUGAUAUUCUAUUACUUUUUGAGGGUUUCAAAGUAAUCUUCAACCUUUUCGUUUUCUUAAAAAAAAUGACUUAUACUGUUCUUUUGUCAAGUUCAUUGGGGUUAUCUCCUAUUAAAACAACAUUAACUAAAAAUUGUGAUUUGGGUAUAAAAAGAAGCAAAUUUUGUUGUCAAAUAAAGUGGAUGAACGAGCAAAGAAAUAUUAUCCGUGCUUUUAUGGCACCUACUAGGAACUUGGGACAUGAUGGAUUCCCUGGAACUGAAUUCACUGAAUCAUCUAAAUCUGGGAAUUGGAGCAAGGAAGUGAAGCAUGAAGAUGAUUCUGAUGUUCUCAUUGAAUGCCGAAACGUGUACAAAUCAUUUGGAGAAAAGCACAUCUUGCGAGGUGUGAGCUUCAAGAUUAGGCAUGGUGAAGCUGUUGGAAUUAUUGGUCCUUCUGGCACUGGGAAAUCUACCAUUCUGAAGAUUAUUGCUGGACUUCUUGCUCCAGACAGGGGUGAGGUAUAUAUUCGAGGCAGAAAAAGAUUGGGCUUGGUUGGUGAUGAUGAGAUAUCUGGUCUUCGAAUUGGACUGGUUUUUCAGAGUGCAACACUUUUUGAUUCUUUGACUGUUCGUGAAAAUGUUGGUUUCCUUUUAUAUGAAAACUCAAGCAUGUCUAGUGAUCAAAUCUCAAAGCUUGUAACAGAGAACUUGGCUGAUGUCGGCUUAAAGGGAGUUGAGGAAAGGUUACCUUCUGAGUUGUCUGGAGGAAUGAAGAAAAGAGUUGCUUUAGCUCGUUCUAUAAUUUGUGAUAUCACCAAAGAAUCAAUUGAGCCAGAGGUGCUUUUAUAUGAUGAACCAACUGCCGGACUUGAUCCAAUCGCAUCAACUGUUGUUGAAGAUCUCAUACGCUCCGUCCAUACAAAGGAUGAGGAUGCCAUUGGGGAACCUGGAAAGAUUGCCUCUUAUGUGGUUGUUACUCAUCAACAUAGUACCAUUAAGAGAGCAGUUGACAGGUUAUUGUUUCUCCAUGAGGGGAAGGUUGUUUGGCAAGGAAUGACUGAAGAAUUCACAACGUCGAUCAAUCCAAUUGUUCGACAGUUUGCAUGUGGGAGUUUGGAUGGUCCAAUCAGAUAUUAGGGCACAUACGAAGGUUGUGGAAGAUUAAAUAUGGUCACUAACGUUCUGCUGCUGUUGAAGUUGUUAGUAUGGCACACCCAAAUUUUGGCUUCCUUUGAGCUGUUAUGCAAAGUUGUUGACAUCAGAGUAGAAAUUUUGGCACUGAAUUUGCUGGCCAAUAAUGAAUUAAGUCUUGGUGGGGAGUGUUUGCUGUUCAUCACUUUUUUUUUGGAAUAUUUUCUUUCCAUUGACCACAAUGUACCAAAUAGUAUUAUUAAUUAGUAGUAUUUUUGUUUUAAUCAUAGGGAUAAUUCCUUUUUAGGAGGGGACUAGGUAAGAUUUUUUAAAAUUCCAUGAGCGGAUUGAGAGUGUGACAAUUAUCGUAUUUAUUUAUAUAAUUAUUUUUUAUUUUUUUAUUACACCCUAUAA